rnacentral:rRNA from 1 species
GACGAACGCUGGCGGCGUGCUUAACACAUGCAAGUCGAACGGAAAGGCCCUGCUUUUGUGGGGUGCUCGAGUGGCGAACGGGUGAGUAACACGUGAGUAACCUGCCCUUGACUUUGGGAUAACUUCAGGAAACUGGGGCUAAUACCGGAUAGGAGCUCCUGCUGCAUGGUGGGGGUUGGAAAGUUUCGGCGGUUGGGGAUGGACUCGCGGCUUAUCAGCUUGUUGGUGGGGUAGUGGCUUACCAAGGCUUUGACGGGUAGCCGGCCUGAGAGGGUGACCGGAAACAGUGGGAGAGAGUGGCGGCCUGGACCACUAGGGGGGGGGGAAGGGGGGAAUAGGGCAGAAUGGGCGGGAGCUGGUGGCGGCAGGCCCGGGUGGGGGAUGAGGGCUUGGGGUUGUAAGACGCGUUCGGCGGGUGAGGAACGGGGGGGGGGGUAAGGGGAAAAAAAGGCCCGGACGAAGACCGUG